AGGGUUUGAUUAUGGCUCAGGAUGAACGCUGGCGGCGUGCCUAACACAUGCAAGUCGAACGAAGCACCUUUUGAGAUUCUUCGGAUGAUCGAUCGGUGACUGAGUGGCGGACGGGUGAGUAACGCGUGGGUAACCUGCCCUGUACAGGGGGAUAACAGCUGGAAACGGCUGCUAAUACCGCAUAAGCGCACGAGGAGACAUCUCCUUGUGUGAAAAACUCCGGUGGUACAGGAUGGGCCCGCGUCUGAUUAGCUGGUUGGCAGGGUAACGGCCUACCAAGGCAACGAUCAGUAGCCGGUCUGAGAGGAUGAACGGCCACAUUGGAACUGAGACACGGUCCAA
rnacentral:rRNA from 1 species